UUCGCUUAUAUAGCACCAAAUUUUCUAAGUCGACUUUCAAACUGCGUUCAGACGAGCCUGUGCCGGGUUUCAGCUCGGCUUCACCGUGGCCUACUCUUGAAUUAGAAUGGGGACGAAAGCUUUAUCCAUCAGCUGGACCACGAUCCGCUGGUGGAUUAAUGUUUGGCUUGCCACCAACAACCACUGAUAUGAAUCAACCGCGAGGCCCAAUGACUUCAUUGAAAGAAGAACCUUUAGGUGCAAGAGCGUGGAUGCAACCCGUCGUUGAUCAGACAAAUUUGGGUAUUGGACGGGCUCAUUUUGAAAAACAGCCUCCGAGUAAUUUAAGAAAAUCAAAUUUUUUCCAUUUCGUCAUUGCUCUAUACGACCGUGCUGGGCAGCCCAUCGAAAUUGAACGUACAGCAUUUAUAGGAUUUAUUGAAAAGGAUUCUGAAUCCGAUGCCACAAAAACAAAUAAUGGUAUUCAAUACCGAUUGCAACUACUCUAUGCAAAUGGUGCGCGACAAGAACAGGACAUAUUUGUGCGACUCAUCGAUUCCGUAACGAAGCAGGCUAUAAUAUACGAAGGACAAGAUAAGAAUCCUGAAAUGUGUCGAGUAUUGCUAACGCAUGAAGUUAUGUGCAGUCGAUGCUGUGAUAAAAAAAGCUGUGGCAACCGCAAUGAAACACCAUCAGAUCCUGUUAUUAUUGAUCGUUUCUUUCUAAAGUUCUUCUUAAAGUGCAAUCAAAACUGCUUAAAAAAUGCUGGUAAUCCCCGAGAUAUGCGCAGAUUUCAGGUCGUUAUAUCCACACAAGUAACAGUUGACGGACCACUAUUAGCCAUUUCGGACAAUAUGUUUGUGCAUAAUAACUCUAAACAUGGACGUAGAGCUAAACGUUUGGAUACUACGGAAGGUACUGGAAACUCUUCCCUGUCUAUUUCGGGUCACCCCCUUGCGCCUGACAGUACCUAUGAUGGCUUAUAUCCACCAUUACCUGUUGCCACACCUUGCAUAAAGGCUAUAUCUCCAAGUGAAGGUUGGACAUCUGGCGGUGCUACGGUUAUUAUUGUUGGUGAUAAUUUUUUCGAUGGUCUUCAAGUUGUAUUUGGUACGAUGUUAGUGUGGAGUGAACUUAUUACAUCACACGCCAUACGAGUACAGACCCCACCACGCCAUAUACCAGGUGUAGUUGAAGUAACACUGUCAUAUAAAAGUAAACAAUUUUGCAAAGGAUCACCUGGACGCUUUGUCUAUGUCUCACUUAAUGAGCCCACAAUCGAUUAUGGAUUUCAGCGCUUACAAAAAUUAAUACCAAGACAUCCCGGAGAUCCCGAGAAACUGCAAAAAGAAAUUAUACUUAAGCGAGCGGCCGAUUUGGUGGAGGCCUUAUAUUCUAUGCCAAGAUCACCUGGUGGUUCAACUGGUUUCAACUCUUACGCUGGUCAGUUAGCUGUUAGCGUACAGGAUGGCUCAGGUCAAUGGACCGAAGAUGAUUACCAGCGGGCACAGUCAAGUAGUGUUAGUCCUCGAGGAGGUUACUGUAGUAGCGCUUCAACGCCACACAGUUCAGGUGGUUCAUAUGGUGCUACAACAGGAGCUGCAAAUGGAUAUGGUUCUACAACUAAUAUGGGUACGCUAUCAUCUUCACCAAGUAGCGUUUUUAAUUCGACUUCGAUGUCGACGCCGUGGCAUCAGGCCCUCGUACAACACCAUCACACCCAUCCUCAUUAUCCUCAUCCACAUCAACCAUGGCACAAUCCGGCAGUAUCAGCAGCCACCGCAGCGGUCUAAGCUCGUGUGCCAUUCCGUAACGUUAAGUUAAAUGCCGAUUCGAGUCUAUCUGUGCAUAUACUACAUAUACAACGACAACAACAACCACAAAAACAACAUAACCAAAAGGCAACAACAGCAACGUUUAAAUUCAAGAAUGUCCUUAAAGAAAAUCAACUGAGUUAUUUUGAGUGAGGCCCCGUUUUGUAUGAACCACAACAUUCAUCUGCCUCACCUGAAAUUGAUUUGAAGCACUCUCCAGCCGCAUAUAACACAACCAUCCACACAUUAAAAUGGAAUGAGCAGCUUGAGCUUUAACCCAUUUGCUCUGCCCACUUGCAAUACACAAGGUUACAGCACGAGUCAACUGGUGACUUCAUC